rnacentral:lncRNA from 1 species
UUCACAGAGCUACUCAAAAAGCAGUGCCCAUGGCAUCCGACUAGCAAGCACUCUGCAAUAGACUGUUACAGCAUGCGUCGAGUCAUGCAAGACUUACCCACACCACCAACUUCUGAGGAGUACACCAAAAACAGAGAUAAGGCCCAAAAUAAAGCCCGCAAUGGCGAAGAUGAGGACGGCGACUUCCAGACAGCUGCAAAAACCAUCAACGUCAUUUUCG